rnacentral:lncRNA from 1 species
UAAAUUAACCAAGUGACAGUUUGUGCAUCAGUCUCACAAUGGCUGUCACAUGAAAUGAGGGCAGAAGAGGGUGAAGUACCACAAAACUUAGUUGAUCAGGGGCUGUUGAGCAACUCUAGGAAAUCUCAGAGAGGCCACCACUCCACCCUGGCGCUGGCCACCCCUGCUCGCUCGCUGCUGCCUCCUCGAGGGCACUCUUCCUUGGACAGUGCCUGCAGCAGGGGACUGGGCUGGGGUGCUUUGGAGGUACUGGAAGGCACUCUGGCGGCCUACUUGCCUCUCUACACAGUUGAAGGUGAGGGCUACUCCCACAUUGCUCUUCAUGA